UACAGGGGGUGCAAGCGUUGCUCGGAAUCACUGGGCGUAAAGCGUACGCAGGCUGCUUCGUAAGUCGGGUGUGAAAGCCCGGGGCUCAACCCCGGAAUUGCGCCCGAAACUGCGGAGCUUGAAUGCGGGAGAGGGAAGCGGAAUUCCUGGUGUAGAGGUGAAAUUCGUAGAUAUCAGGAGGAACACCAGUGGCGAAAGCGGCUUCCUGGCCCGACAUUGACGCUCAUGUACGAAAGCGCGGGGAGCAAACAGG
rnacentral:rRNA from 1 species